GUAACAGGAAAGCUUGCUUUCGCUGACGACCGGCGCACGGGUGCGUAACGCGUAUGCAACCUACCUCAUACUGGAGAAUAGCCCCUGGAAACGGGGAUUAAUACUCCAUAGUAUCAUUCUUUCGCAUGUUUGAAUGAUUAAAGAAUUUCGGUAUGAGAUGGGCAUGCGUCCCAUUAGCUAGUUGGUGAGGUAACGGCUCACCAAGGCUACGAUGGGUAGGGGGCCUGAGAGGGUGGUCCCCCACACUGGUACUGAGACACGGACCAGACUCCUACGGGAGGCAGCAGUGAGGAAUAUUGGUCAAUGGAGGCAACUCUGAACCAGCCAUGCCGCGUGAAGGAUGACGGCCCUAUGGGUUGUAAACUUCUUUUGAAUAGGAAGAAACUUAUCUACGUGUAGAUAACUGACGGUACUAUUAGAAUAAGGAUCGGCUAACUCCGUGCCAGCAGCCGCGGUAAUACGGAGGAUCCAAGCGUUAUCCGGAUUCAUUGGGUUUAAAGGGUCCGUAGGCGGAUCUUUAAGUCAGUGGUGAAAGCCGACAGCUUAACUGUCGAACUGCCAUUGAUACUGGAGAUCUUGAGUACAAAUGAAGUAGGCGGAAUGAGUCAUGUAGCGGUGAAAUGCAUAGAUAUGACUCAGAACACCGAUUG
rnacentral:rRNA from 1 species